rnacentral:rRNA from 1 species
AUUAAGGGCAUACGGAGGAUGGCUAGACAGAACGUGCCGAUGAAGGACGUAGCAGCCUGCGAUAAGCUUCGGGGAGGUGGCAAGCAACCUUUGAUCCGGAGAUUUCCGAAUGGGGAAACCCGUUACGUUGAAGGCGUAUCAUCUACCGCUGAAUAUAUAGGCGGUAUGAAGGGCACCUGGGGAAGUGAAACAUCUCAGUACCCAGAGGAAAGGAAAAAGAUUAACUCGCUUUGUGUUCAAAGUGUUCUUCGAACAUUUUGAACAUUUAAGUGAGUCCAUUCCCUAAGUAGUGGCGAACGAAAGGGGAACAGUCCAAACUUUUUUAGUGAAACCUUCCGGAUCUUUUCUUUAUGGAGAGUGAAGGAUGGUGAAAGGUGGCAGCCGUUGCUAAAAAAGUGUUGUAAGAUGUUUGUGUGAUUUUCUGCCGAAAGUCGACUUUAGCACGAUAUAUAACAGAAUUCGCUGGAAAGCGAAACCACAGAAGGUGAUAGUCCUGUAAGUGAAAUAUUUCGUGUUACGGUUACAAACACUCUUGAGUACCACGAGACUCGCGAAAUCUUGUGGGAAUCUGCCGCGACUAUGUGGCAAGACUAAAUACGCGUUCUGAUCGAUAGUGAACCAGUACCGUGAGGGAAAGCUUAAAAGAACCCCGGAAGGGGAAUGAAAUAGUAUCUGAAACCGUAUGCUUACAAGGAGUUAGAGUCCCACCGUAGCCCGUAAGGGCGAAGGGGGAUGAUAGCGUUCCUAUUGAAGAAUGAGCCAACGAGUGUGCUGCGUGUCGCUCGGUUAAGCCUUAAGGGGCGAAGCCAUAGUGAAAGCAAGCGUUCACCCGCGUUCUCUGACUUUGUUCAAGGAUCCGUAGAGGUAUAAAAUUUUAUGCCUUCUAUAGCCCUUGAACAUAGUCAGAAGGUGGCACGCACACGACCCGAAACCGAGUGAUCUAACCAUGGCCAGGGUGAAGCGAGUGUAAUAGCUCGUGAAGGCCCGAACCCACGCGCCGUACAACACGCGGGGAUGAGCUGUGGUUAGCGGAGAAAUUCCAAUCGAACUCGGUAAUAGCUGGUUCUCCCCGAGAUAGCUUUUGGGCUAGCGUCGGUAAAUAAUGUGUUGGGGGUAGAGCACUGAAUGGGACGGUCGCCGCAAGGUAGACCUCCUAACCAAACUCCGAAUACCAACACGUGUUCCCGGCAGUCAGACGAUGGGGGCUAAGCUCCAUACGUCGAAAGGAAAACAGUCCAGAUCUCAAACUAAGGUCCCUAAAUCAUCAUUAAGUGUAGAAGGUGGUGAAGAGGCUCAUACAACCAGGAGGUUGGCUUAGAAGCAGCCAUCCUUUAAAGAUAGCGUAACAGCUCACUGGUCAAGCCUUUUUGCGCCGAAAAUGUACCGGGGCUAAAUGGUGUACCGAAGUUGAGGGUUUAAUCGCAAGAUUAAGCGGUAGGGGAGCAUUCGCAUCUGCGCUGAAGUCGUGUCGUAAGGCAUGGUGGAGCGUUGCGAAGAGAGAAUGUUGGCAUGAGUAGCAAGAAGACAGGUGAGAAUCCUGUCCGCCGUAAACCCAAGGUUUCCUGGGCAACGAGAAUCGUCCUAGGGUUAGUCGGGAGCUAAGGCGAGGCCGAAAGGCGUAGUCGAUGCACAGCAGGUUAAUAUUCCUGCACUUCGUUUUGUUUCGAUGAGGGGACGCUUUCCGUACCCUCCCGCGUCAUAUGGCUAUGGCGUUGGGUGCGCUGAGGCGAUUGGUAGGUAAAUCCGCCAGUCACAAACCUCGGCGUAAGCGCAAGUUGGUCGCAAGACUGACAAGGGGAGGGGAAAGAGGGUCAAGAAAAGCCUCUAAGGUUAGGCAAAACGAACCCGUACCGGAAACCGACACAGGUGGGUGGGCACGUGAAUGUGCCAAGGCGUACGAGAGAACCCUUUGUUAAGGAACUCGGCAAAAAAGCGGCUGUAACUUCGGGAUAAAGCCUGGUUGCCCCCGGGAGGGGGCGACCCGCAGCGAAAGACGUCAACCGACUGUUUACCAAAAACACAGGUCCCUGCAAAACUGCAAAGUGAUAUAUAGGGGCUGAUGCCUGGCCAGUUAACUGAAGCUAAGGUAGCGAAAUUCCUUGUCGGGUAAGUUCCGACCUGCACGAAUGGCAUAACGAGUUGACGACUGUCUCAACAAGGGACUCGGUGAAAUUGCAAGAUGAGUGAAGAUGCUCAUUGCCCGUGGUUAGACGAAAAGACCCCGUGAAGCUUUACUACAGCUUGUUAUUGGGUUCAUACUUCGUAUGUUCAGUGUAGGUGGGAGCCUUCGGGCGCCAAUGAGACACCACCCUUACGUUGCGUGAAUUCUAACCGAUCGCCGUUAUCCGGUGAUUGGGACAGUAGCUGGUGGGUAGUUUACCUGGGGCGGGUGCCUCCCAAAAAGUAACGGAGGCGUUUACAAAGGUCAGCUUAGCGCGGAUGGAAAUCGCGCUGGACGUGCAA